AUAAAUUAUACCCCACGUAGCCACAUUCUUGACUUGACCCUUCACUUCAUUUGCUCUUUCCUUUUCUUUACACUUCACCUCUUGAAUUCUCUCUGGGUAUAACUCUGAUUUCCUUUGUUUCUUUCCAAACAAAGGGGCUGAUCCUCAAAUGGGUUCUCUUUGAAUCCCAAAACAAUUACUGGGUUUUGAUUGAACAUUGAACAACCAAAACAAAGAGAGAGAGGCUGAGAGGGAGAGGCAAUGGCCGUGCCAUGGGCCAUGACUCUGUGGAUGGCAAAGAUGGUUUGGAUGGCUCUGUCUGGGUGGGUGUCUUCCUGUUUGACUGUUGCUGAUGAGGUUGCUGGCUCUCUUAGAAGCGGUGAUAUUGGAGCCUUCCAUGUUGGCUGAUUGGACUGUCAAAUUCACAACUCCAAAGCUUUCUGCUACUUAGGCAUAAUGAAAGGAAAAGAAGGUGAAUUUGCUACAUGGAAAAAAUUACUCUCAGUAUUUAUGACUACCUAUAGUGAUUAAAAAGAUCAGCUGAGGCUAGUUGGAAACAAGAGAGGAGAUUGAAUACAUGGUUUGGGGAUUUAAAGCCCUCUCUAAGUUCAGUAGUUGAAUACUCUGUGCAAAUCUUCUUAAAUGGUUUAUGAUUCAUUUUCCAUUUUAAAACAAAUUGUAAAGCUUUGACAUACUUUAUACAAGAGGUUUGAUAUUUGUUAUUGGGAUGGGGGAAAAGAGGGAGAGAGAGAGGGGGGGUGGGGUGGUUUGAAUUGGUGUGGUGCUUUAGGUUUGACAAGUUCUGUAAAAUUGACAAGGUUGUAUGAUAAAAAUGAAACAUAAAUGUUUGGAUUCCAAAUAAAGGCCUAAUCCUUGUUUUUA